rnacentral:rRNA from 1 species
GAUGAACGCUGGCGGCGUGCCUAAUACAUGCAAGUCGAGCGAACAGACGAGGAGCUUGCUCCUCUGACGUUAGCGGCGGACGGGUGAGUAACACGUGGAUAACCUACCUAUAAGACUGGGAUAACUUCGGGAAACCGGAGCUAAUACCGGAUCAUAUAUUGAACCGCAUGGUUCAAUAGUGAAAGACGGUUUUGCUGUCACUUAUAGAUGGAUCCGCGCCGCAUUAGCUAGUUGGUAAGGUAACGGCUUACCAAGGCAACGAUGCGUAGCCGACCUGAGAGGGUGAUCGGCCACACUGGAACUGAGACACGGUCCAGACUCCUACGGGAGGCAGCAGUAGGGAAUCUUCCGCAAUGGGCGAAAGCCUGACGGAGCAACGCCGCGUGAGUGAUGAAGGUCUUCGGAUCGUAAAGCUCUGUUAUUAGGGAAGAACAAAUGUGUAAGUAACUAUGCACGUCUUGACGGUACCUAAUCAGAAAGCCACGGCUAACUACGUG